rnacentral:rRNA from 1 species
UACAGAGGUCUCAAGCGUUGUUCGGAUUCAUUGGGCGUAAAGGGUGCGUAGGCGGCGCGCUAAGUCAGGUGUGAAAUCUCGGGGCUUAACUCCGAAACUGCAUUUGAUACUGGCGUGCUUGAGGACUGGAGAGGAGACUGGAAUUCAUGGUGUAGCAGUGAAAUGCGUAGAGAUCAUGAGGAAGACCAGUGGCGAAGGCGGGUCUCUGGACAGUUCCUGACACUGAGGCACGAAGGCCAGGGGAGCAAACGGG